rnacentral:lncRNA from 1 species
GUGUAUUUAAAUUUUUCAGAAAUUCUAACACAUAAAUGAGAAAAGCAACACAGCCUCCAGAAGCAGCCAAAGCUCCCAGUACCAGGAGUCUCUGAGCAACUGUCCCAGCUGGCCCUGACAAUGUGGCCCAGAGCAAACCCUUCAACAUCUCCAUGCUAAGGAGCUCCUUGUGCAAAAUGGUAGGGAGUAUUUUUAAGUCUCUCACAGGACUGUUAUGAAGAUUAAUUAAGGACUGAGCAGUGCUUUGAAGAUCAAAACUGCUAUGCUGUUAUUUAUUAUUAAAGAACAACAAAGCACAUUCUUGUUGUCUAUAAUUCAACUUCAGAGAAAACAGUGGACGAGCACAUGUUCAAAUGCAUAAAUUAAUUCUCCCUGCCCCAACAAGCUGUGAUUUGCAUAACUACAUUUUUAGCCACCAAAACCCCAUCAGAAAGUCUAUACUCAUCCCUUUGAAAUAUUUAAAAGGCCUGAAGGAAUAUAACCAAUACAGUUUCUCUUCUGAUUCUUUUCCAGGAUAAGCUUUUCCUAUCAGAUAUUUUUGCCUCAGUUCAGCAAUGCUUUUUAUUAGACAUAUACUAAAGGGCUUUUCUAAAUCAGUUCAACACCCAUUCUGGACAUUUGCAUUCAAAAAGAGGAGCUAGAAAGACAGUAUGGCAUGUCAUUGAACACUGCUGGACAAAGAUGUCGGGAAAAGCAAAUCCCUGGUCUUCCUGAACAAUUCCUUCUUCAGACACACAGCCACAAGGGUUCAAAGGUCCCUGCGGCCUUUGUUCUCAGUUCCAGAGUAGUUACAAACAAACUUUUGUUCCUGUUUCUUCAAUGAAAUAAGCUGCAGCAGUUACCAAUGACUGAACUUUACAUCUGAAGCUUGCUUUGUCCAUCAUGCAACAGGAGGACUACAGAAUCUCAUUUACACUUCCAAAAAUAAGUUAUCAGAACUUUUGCUGAAAUAAAAAUCAACUACUCCUUACUGAUUCA